UAUUGGGCAUGUGCUUUAGAAUGUGCAGACACUAUCUAUAUGGAACAUGAUCACAUAAAAUGAUAUAUUUUUUGUAUAUUUUAGAUUUCUAAUGAUGGAUUCCAGUACAGUAAUUCAAAAGUUCUGACCUUGUACAAUGGAGUCUGCCAGGACUGCAAAUUCCAUCAAAAUGGGCUUUGUAAAUUAAAGGCUGUGUCACAGUUCUGCCAUCUAUCACAAAUUGUGCCAGUAGACCUUGUUGUUCCUGGAGUUGUAUGGAUUGACCGAAAACCUUCAAAUACUGGAUGCUUCUGUGGCCGAUCUCCAACAGGUUUCUCUGGAAAUGGAUGAAAUUGUACAAGAACACCUAGACCAGGGAAUCAAGGCGGAUUACAAUAGGAUGAUGUCAUGUAGGAGAGGCAGUCUCUACAAUAUCCUGCACCCGG